rnacentral:lncRNA from 1 species
ACAAUUAAAAGGAUGGUGGGAUAACUAUCUUACAGCAAACCGACAACAAGAGAUAUUAAAAGCUACAAAAAAAAAUAAUGAUGGUCAUAGUAUUUUAGACAACCAUGGAAGAGAAAUUCAAGAUACUGUUGCCACCCUCAUUUUCUCAAUAUCAAAACACUUUAUAGGAGAUCCUUCUCAUCUUAAAGACAAAAAUUCUGAAUUAUUAUCAAAUUUAAAAUGCAAAAAAUUAACAGAUUUCAAAUGGUACAAAGACAUGUUUAUGACAAGAGUAAUGCAAAGAUUUGAUAAUAAUCAACCUUCUUGGAAAAAAAAAUUUUUAACUGGACUUCUUACUUUAUUAGGAAAGAAAGUUAGAAAUCAAAUAAAAGAAACUUACAAAGGUAUACUACCUUAUGAAAAUCUUACAUAUGGUGAACUCAUAAGUUUCACUCAAAAAGAAAGGUUAAAAAUCUGCCAAGAUUUAAAACUCCAAAAACAAAUUAAAAAAGAAAGAAAAUUGUACACUAAGAAUUAUGAUAAUUUUGCUAACAAUUUGACAUUAGAAAUGAAUAUUCUUCAAAACCUUGUUGCUCUGCAAAACCAAAACAAAGAACAUCAUCAAUGUAUACUAUUGUGAAUUGCGAACAUUACAGUUUGAGUGAAACACCAAGACUUCUUUUUAUGAACUAUUCUUGAAUAUUUUUGUAAUAUUUCAUCUUGUAAUAUUCUUUUUAUGAAGUCUUCAAAACCCUAAUACUAUGCAAGAUAUGGUGGGAUCUUGUAUUUAUGAAGAUUCUGAGAUGUUUGUAAUGGUUUUCUAGAUUUCCUGAGAAAAUUAGAACAUCAUCAAUGUAUACUAUUGUGAAUUGGGAAUAUCAGUUGAAUAUUUCAUUCAUUAUUUUUUGAAAUUUUGAUGGGGCAUUUUUUAAUCCAAAAGGCAUAACAUUCCAUUCAUAUUGUCCAAAAGAGACUGUGAAUGCUGUUUUAUACCUUUCGGUUUUUUUGAUUUGGAUUUGCCAAAAUCCUGAUUUCAUGUCAAAUUUUGAGAAGAUUUUUGCAUUACAAAGUUUUUGUAAUAAAUCUUUUUUAGUUAGAAUUGGAUAUUUGAUCCAUUCUAAUGUUUUGUUUAGAUGUUUAUAAUUGAUUACUAGUUUUGGUGUUCCUCUUUCAAUUUCUGCAUUUUUGAUUACAUAAAAAGCAGAGCAGCUCCAAAGAGAGUUACUCUUUAUGAUGAGUUUUUUAUUUAAUAAAUCUUGAAUUUUUUUCUGCAAUAUUCUUCCAUUUCUUUAUUCAUUUGGAUAGCUCUGGCUUUUGUAGGGAUAUGUUUUUCAUUGAAAUCUUUUGCAUAAGGUAAUGUUACCUCAUGUUUUUUCAUAUUCCAAAAUGCAUUAGGGAUAUUAGAACAAAUUGAGUUUUCUAUGUUAUUUUUUAUUUGGUUUAUUUUUUCUUUAAUUUCAUCUGUUAUUAAUUGUUGGUUUAUUCUUUCAAAGGAAAUUUCAUUUUUUAAAUAGGUGAUUUGGUUUUGUUUGUAAUUAAUUAGCAUAUUGAUUUCAUCUGUGUGUAUUGAUAAUGAUUUUAAUAAAUUGAUAUUUUUAAUUCUUGGUUUUUCUAUGAAAGGAAAACUGAUUUUAGUUUUUAGUAUCUUGGUAGUUAUUGCUUGAUGAGUGACUUUGUAAGGUUUUAAUAUUGAUAUAAAUGGUGUACCUAAAACAACAUCUUGAGUUAUAUUUUUGACCAUUAAAAAGGGUGUUUUGAAUUUAAUUCCUUGGUUGCAAAUUUCUGCUUUUGAUAUUUUAUAUGUGAUUUUGAGUUUUCCACCAUUAGCCAUUUUGAGUCCUUCUAUUGUUUUGUCAUAAUAUUUUGUCGGUAUUAAUCCCUUCCUUAUAUAAUUUUGAUCUGCACCUGUGUCUAAUAGUGCUAUUGUUUCUAGUUGGAACUCAUUAUUAAUUGGGAGUUUUAUUUUUAUUAAAUAUCUUUGGAUGGAUACUUCAGUGAGAACCUUCAUAUAUUCUUGCGUGUUCUGAAUUUUUUGGUUUUAGGUGUCUGAAAAAAAUUGUUCAUUUGGGGUUUCUGUAUUUUUGAAAAUUUCAAUAUGUUGUUUAAUGCUUUGUUGUUCUUUUUUGAGUUUGGAGAUUUCUUGUUUUAUGAUUUUUAUUUCUGAAUGUAAUUCUGUUUUGGUUAUCUUUUUUGGUUUUGUGUUUUCAUAUUUAUCGAAUAUAAUGUUUUUAAUGUUAUAGAUUGGUUCAUGAUUUAACAAGUUAGCUUUUUUAGGUUUUUCUUUUAUUGAGUCUUUUAGCUUUUCAAGAUAUUCAUUCUUUAAAACUGGGUCUUUUAUUUUGUCAAUAAUUUCAAUCAUAAAUUCUUGGUCUUUUGUUAGUACAUGAAUUAGAUUUUUACUUUCUUUUGAAGAUUGGGAUGUUGUUUGUAUUUCAUCUAUUUGUAGGUUUUCUGAAGAUGCACUGUUUGUAAGUGUCACUAUCGGAUGUAGAUUCUAAGAGUAUUUCAUUGAGUUUUUGUUCAAUCUCUUCUCCUAAUUGGAGUUGAUUAAUUUUUCUUUUUAUUUUACAAUAUUUUGAGAUGUGACUAGUUUUUCCACAUCUAAAACAUUUUAUUGUUUUAUCUAUUUUAACUGGUUCUUUUUGUUUUUGUUUUGUUUUCCUAUAUUUUUUGUAUUUUGGAAUCUUAUAGUAAUUUGGAAGGUUGUUCUUAUGCCUUCUUUGUUUUGAUUUUGCAGAGCAACAGGGUUUUGAAAGAAGAUUCAUUUCUAAUGUCAAAUUGUUGACAGAAUGAUCCUAAUUCCUUGGCGUAUAAUUUUUUGAAAUUUGUUAAUAUUUUCAUAAUGAAUAUUUUUCUCGUUAACGGUUUGGGUUUGGUUAAAGUUUGAACUAGAACAAGAAGUAGUUCUUAAAAAUGGAAGCAUCUUGUUUUAUCAAAUUGUUUUCCUAAAUAGGGGAUUUCUACUGUUCUGGUGAAAAGUUGUGUCCUAAAAUGCCUAACCCAUGGCUUAAUAGAUUGAUUUCUCAAUAACUUAGCAAGAAUUAAUAUAGUACCAGCCAAUCAGUUAAAACCAAAACUCGAAAAACAAAGUGAAAGUAACAAAAUACUUGAAUCUUAAAGAAAAUAUUCUUUGUUCUUGUGUGGCUCUGAUACCAAAAGCGAUCAAGAUUAACACCGAAAAAUAUUUUAAUGAAAAUAUUUUAUUAGAAAUGGAUAAUUAUGAUACAAAAUAUUAAAAAGGGUUUUGGUGAAAGUUUAAGACUUUCCCAAACUUAAAAUUUUUGGUCUUAAGGGACUCUUGCUCUAAUAUUGAAUCUGAGCCUUUAUAUAGGCAGUAGAUUUUACAUUUAUAUGUGAAUUUUUAUUUCAUUUUCAUUACAUUUGAAUUUGCUUUUGGCCAUUGCUUUCACUGUUUGGUUUGUGAACUUGCUUUUUUCUGCUUUUCAAAAUGCUUUCAGCUGCUUUUUAUGGAUCCUUAUACUUUUGGGCUGUUUUGGUCGACACUGCUUUUUUAGAGUGUUUUUCGCUAUUUUUGGGGGAUUCAGACACAGUUUUCCCCCUGUAGGCAGAAGAAAUAUAUUAUCACCAAAACAGUAGAAACCCCUUAUGUAGGAAAACAUAUAUAUAUAUAUACAUAAAAGAGUGGCAUAUCUCUUUAUUGACUUGUAAUUUAUGAGGGGUUUGUUUUUUGUUUUUCGUGUAGAUUGUUUCAUAAACUAAUUAGUCAAAUAUUUUAAUAUACAUUGAUUUUACAUUUUUAAUAUAAAAAUGUGAUUGCAUAAAGUUUUCUUUGGACAAAUGGUUUAAAUUAAUUCUUUUCAAAAAUGAAAGUAUUUAGAAGUUCUACAUUCCGAUAUCUCAAGGUGAUAGUAUAUAUUUAUGUUUAAGAUUAACAAUUUCAAAUAGAGCAAGUCAACAAUUGGUUUCAAUCUUGCAUGCUAGGGUUUUCUUAAAAUUUGUAAGGCUAGUCUUUAGAGAAAUUUAUGUGUAGUUUACUUGAUGGGAGCAUUACAGAAACCAAGAAACAUAUCAACAUUCAAGAAUUGACAAACGAGAAGGAGAUAUUGUAAAUAUUUAAUAAAAUUUCUAUGACAUGCAAGCAUUCAUUACACAAAUUCUUAAUCACCAUCCAUUCAUUCGUUGCAGAAACUACAACAUAAAGAUGCAAACAGUAUCAGAAAUAACACAAGUAAGAAAUUACCAUAGGGAUAGGGAUGCUUGGUUGACGGUUGGGUAGGGUGGGUUAGCGAUGGGGGAAAGUGGGUAGGCAGUAGAGAUGCUUAAGGGGUC